rnacentral:sRNA from 1 species
UGACUACCAGGGCUCCUGCACCAGCUGUCUUCUCUGUGUAGCAUCUAACUUGGCAAGCAUCGCAUCUUAGUUGUAUCCAUUUACAGAGGGGGAACACUGAACUCCAGAAGGAACAAAAAACUUCAGCAGCUUUUUGAGUGGGCCCUUUCUCUGCCUCCAUCAUCCUGUUUGUGGGCCGAGCCUGGGAUGCCAUCACAGACCCCCUGGUGGGCCUCUGCAUCAGCAAAUCCCCCUGGACCUGUCUGGGUCGCCUUAUGCCCUGGAUCAUCUUCUCCACGCCCCUGGCCGUCAUUGCCUACUUCCUCAUCUGGUUCGUGCCCGACUUCCCACACGGCCAGACCUAUUGGUACCUGCUUUUCUAUUGCCUCUUUGAGACAAUGGUCACGUGUUUCCAUGUUCCCUACUCGGCUCUCACCAUGUUCAUCAGCACCGAGCAGACUGAACGGGAUUCUGCCACCGCCUAUCGGAUGACUGUGGAAGUGCUGGGCACAGUGCUGGGCACGGCGAUCCAGGGGCAAAUCGUGGGCCAAGCAGACACGCCUUGUUUCCAGGACCUCAAUAGCUCUACAGUAGCUUCACAAAGUGCCAACCAUACACAUGGCACCACCUCACACAGGGAAACGCAAAAGGCAUACCUGCUGGCAGCGGGGGUCAUUGUCUGUAUCUAUAUAAUCUGUGCUGUCAUCCUGAUCCUGGGCGUGCGGGAGCAGAGAGAACCCUAUGAAGCCCAGCAGGCUGAGCCGAUCGCCUACUUCCGGGGCCUACGGCUGGUCAUGAGCCACGGCCCAUACAUCAAACUUAUUACCGGCUUCCUCUUCACCUCCUUGGCUUUCAUGCUGGUGGAGGGGAACUUUGUCUUGUUUUGCACCUACACCUUGGGCUUCCGCAAUGAAUUCCAGAAUCUACUCCUGGCCAUCAUG